rnacentral:misc_RNA from 1 species
UAACACUCCUCCUUGCUUGCAGACCCCAAUUCUUUGCCGUAGAAUCUCAAACUUGAUAACUGGAAAUAGCUUCGUGAACAGGUCUGCUAGCUGGUCUUCAAAAAUGCAAUAAACCAAGAUUUAAGACAUGAUCCUUGUGAAGAUCGUUUCUGAAACAGCAGCAAAAAGUGUUGCUUUUGCCUUGGACUUCCUGGUCUUCUUUUCUUUGUGAUUUUUCAUUUGGGCCACGGUAGGAUUAUUUGUUAAAGGAUCAACUUCAUAAUCUUCUUCCACAGCCUCCCAAAGAUCCACAGCCUCAAGGUGAAAAUGAGCGCAUUCUGACAGUCACAUUUUGGUCUUUGUUUGAAGACUGCGUGGAUUAGCAGUUGCUUCAUUGCGCUUGAUGUGUAUGAAGGGAUAGAUACAACUCAUUUGUAGAAGAAGAUCUCACCUUCAAAUAUCAGUUCCUGAUGACCACUUUCUCCAUCUUGAGUUGUUGUCUGCUCUCUGCUACUUUUGCAUCUUUCGUUUGUCUACAUUUCUUGAAUCGCUAGUGGUUUUUUACCAUUACUAGAAAACAAACACUACAUGCAUGAUUGUGCAGAAUAGCUGAAUCAUAUUUUA